ensembl:snRNA U6 U6 spliceosomal RNA
UCUUAAAAGAAAAAAAGAAAGAAAGAAAGCUGGAAUGAUAGAGUGAAGAUGAGCAUGGCCCAUGCACAAGGAGAACACACAAAUUCAUGAAGCAUUCCAUAAACUA